CCUCCUUAAAAAGACAACGUUUAGUGCAGGCGUUCACACAUAUUACUUAUUUACCUAGAUCUCUUUAAAAUGAGAUGGCAAGGUGAGUUCUUUAACAUUUUUAUAAGUUCAAUCAAGUCACAUCAUAGUGUCUUAAUUUUUUUAAUUUAGAUAUGAAUGAUGUGCAAAUGUCACCAAACCCGUCAUGUUUUAGGACAUAAGUUUGGUGUACAUACUGCAAAGUAAUUUUGGCGAAUGACAAUAGAUACUUGAAGAACAUUAAUCAUUAAGUUGUUUGAUGUAAUAUGGUCAAGUAAAUAAGCGCAUACGGUGGAUGCCUUGGCAGCUAGAGGCGAUGAAGGACGUAAUAACUUGCGAUAAGCUUCGGGGAGCCGGUAAACAGGCUUUGAUCCGAAAAUUCCGAAUGGA
rnacentral:misc_RNA from 1 species